rnacentral:rRNA from 1 species
CGGUAUCUUGACCGUGCAAAGGUAGCAUAGUAAUUAGCUUUUUAAUUGAAAGCUUGUAUGAAUGGUUGGACAAGAGAAAAACUGUCUCCUUACUAAAAUUUGAAUUUAACUUUUAAGUGAAAAGGCUUAAAUUUUUCAAGGGGACGAUAAGACCCUAUAAAGCUUUAUAAAGUGCGAAAAGCUUUAAAAAUUUAUUAAUAAAAGAAAACUUUUUAAAAAUUAUUAUGUUGGGGCGACACAGAUAAAAAUAUAGGUAACUGUCAGAAUAAAAUACAAUCAUUUUUGAUUAAUAAUGAUCCUUAAUAAAGAUUAAAAGACUAAGUUACUUUAGGGAUAACAGCGUUAUUCUUUUUGAGAGUCCUUAUCAAAAAAAGAGUUUGCGACCUCGAUGUUGAAUCAUAAAAUCUUUACAGUGCAGCAGCUGUAAAAAGAAGGUCUGUUCGACCUUUAAAAUUGUA